UAUAAUAAUACGGGUGUUAGAUUCAUGGGGAUCCCAUUAGUACUCGAGGAACAAGAAAGAAAACUAUCCGUUAACAGCCUAGAAAUAUCAAAUCGACAUCACAAUCCUUUUCCCUGCAGGAAAAUAGUAACGUUAAAAAACAACCCGUCUGUUACACUUCCACUUCAUUGAUUUUGAUUUACAGUACACGAAAUAAUUCCUUGAUCUUUCAAGUUCCUCUUUUCUUUGCCUGUUAAAUUCUGUAACAACACUGGAGUUCCACGGUGGAGACAAAGUAGAAGUAUGUAGCGAAGAGGAAGGAUUUCUUGGAUCAUAUUAUGCAGCGACAACGGUCAAGAACUUAGUGGAAGAGGAAGACAUGUCAAAGCAUCUGAUAGAGACACACCGCAAGCCCAGCGCUAAAACACACCGCUGGAGCACUCUGCUCAACGGCCUUAACCUGCGCACCCACCCAACACCUAAACCAUUAACUCGCCCGCUCGCCCGCUCAAACCCAGUCCUCCUCAUCUUCUUCUUCUUCAAGCCAAACCCCUUUCUAGUCGAUGGAGUGACAAUUUCUAAGAAAACUCCGCUAAUGGUGCUGCUCUUUAAUCUCUUUGAUAGAAGGCGGAUGAUUCUGUAAUUUCAGGAUGUAUAUAAAGCAGGCAUUUAACCUGCUUGCUUAGUUCUCUUCAUUGUGCAACCAACAAUAGGCAGGAGAACCAAAAUCAUAUCGGAUCUGCUGAUAUCUGUUUCAAAAGAAUAGAGACAAGCCAGGAUUAAAGUUCACCAAGAUUCCUUAAGACUUGAUUUCAACUUGUUAGUUAAUAGCAUUUGCAUAUGGCUUUAGCUGGAAUCUUGAUACUGGCAUUUUUUUUUUCAGGCAUUUAACCUGCUUGCUUAGUUCUCUUCAUUGUGCAACCAACAAUAGGCAGGAGAACCAAAAUCAUAUCGGAUCUGCUGAUAUCUGUUUCAAAAGAAUAGAGACAAGCCAGGAUUAAAGUUCACCAAGAUUCCUUAAGACUUGGUAGUGUGGGUGUUAUCGGGUAUUUUCCACCAGCAUGCUUUGAGCUCAGCAAGACCCCUUUAAUAUCAUUGAAGACGCCCUUUUGGGCAUGACCAAACUCAAGAACGAAUACUACGCGAAGACACAAUUAUAAAAGCUUGCAGGGUUGAAUUCCCUACGAAGCCUAUUAUCUCAAAUGAGGCGAAGUUGGAGAUAACAGACCUGACAAGAAUAUUUUUUUUCAUUUAGCCAUUCGUUUUGUAUUGAGUGAUCUCUUCCACAACCUAUGCAAUUAUGACAAGCAUUAACUACUCGAUGGAGGUGCAGGACAUCAAGUUUUAUCUGCUUUCAUUGAUAUUGUGUUGAUAAUUCUGACAAUGGCAUCUCGGUGAUCGUUGUUUUUCCUUAAAAGUUGUUUUUUAAGCAUCUUUUCUGGAAGUGCUUAAUUGGUUGAAUGUGCUUUUGGUUUGUAAAGGUGCAAUACUUUACAAUCUUUCAUUCCUGUAUAUUUAUGGCUACAACAACUCUCUUAAAUGGUAAUUGAUUCUUCUGUACCCUAAUGACGAUCAUGAUGGAAAAGACGUUGAAGAACUCAAGCUUUCUGUGGCAAAAGAUCACAUCCAGACUGUCGAUGGCUGCUAAUUUGAGGGGUUAUGUACUGACCAAUAGUGAUGGGGAAAGGUAAAAUGGAUGGAAGCUUUAACUUACUGUGAGACACCUAUUGCAUAAGCUUUUCUCUUAGCAUAAAUAGUGAUUAAGUAAGGAAGAAAGUCGUUAUGACGGGGGGGCUUUUAUGAUUAUCGAUGCUCAAAGUUGAAGUUUAUGAACAUAAUUAUGUAGAACAAAUCACAUUGAGGUAAGAAAUCUCAUGAUUGUGCAGUUUCCAUCACAGACUAAAAUGAGAAAACAGAGAGCUAGAGACUAAUUUCACAACUAAUCUGAAAUAACAAAAACAAAAUUUGGAAGCCCUAAUAUCCUUUGCUAAAUCUGAGAUGUUACAUGGUUCUUAAUUGUAGGGGAAGGAACUAAAUGAUGUUAACUCAUUGGCUGAAGUCAUAACACUAACUCUAAAGUGUGCUUUGAGUUGUUUUUAGAAACUUGAUUUUAAUAUUUCACUAUAAAAAUAUUUUUUUGACUAGCUGUUCUUCCAGGUGUUUCUGAGAGGAUGGAUAGACUCAAUGCUGAAGUCACAACACAACUCUGAACUGUGAAUAUGCUUUAUUGUUUCUUUAUGUGAUAAAUGACUAGUCUAAGCUUCAGUUUUUUGUUCUUGUCUUUUAAUGUAUUAUUAAACUAUUAUGGCUUGUAAUCAAUGUUUUAAAUUAAUUUAUCCUGUCUGAUUUUCCAGCCGUUAUCCUUGCUGAAAUCCUAGAAGAUGAUGUUUUGGUCUUCCCCCACAUGUAUAAGAGGAGUUUGAAAGAGUUGCAUAAAAUGCUUCAUUGGUGCAAUGAGCAUUUCAACAGUUCAGCCAUGUAAACAAGGAGGCACUAGAUCAACAUGUAAAUCUCACUAGGAAACAGGAGGAACUUCAGACACGGCAAGCUGAACUUGAGGCAAGUGACAAGGUACUACGGUACUGGAUUUUAAUGGUUAAAUGUCUUCUGUUGUACUUAUUGUUUUUAAUGUGAGAUUAUGAUUUAUGUAUCUUUACUUCAACGAUAAACAUAAGCCAUAAAAAAAUAGACUGAGCUUGAGCCUGAUGUGAAAGACGUGCUAGAGAGAAUUUCAGAACAUAUCCAA